GUCCUCCGCCUUAAAAGAGACCGCGUGGAAGCGUCUCGCCCUUUUCCUCGCUGUCGCGGUUGACGUUGGAAGGAGGCUUUCUUCCGCUGCCAUGUGGGAACUGACUUCAAAAAACAGUGGAAAGGACCAGUAUGUAGAGUUGCGGGAGGAACAUGCAAAGGGAGCCAGAAGCUGCCCUCCAAGAUGAGUGAUCGUGAUUGAAAUGCCAACUCUUACCUGGAAAGAUGUUUCUCUAAUCUUCAAAGAUGGAAGUCCAUCCAGAUUUCGUUGAAGAGGCUUGUACACUAUUUGUACUGCUAUGAACGUGGUUAAAAUUAGACACCAGAUUUGCAUUAUUUUAGUUGAGAAGUGAAAGAUUUUAGAAGAAUACACUUCUAAGAUGAUGCAUGGAGAGGUAGGCUUGGACAAACAUUACUACAAUUCAGUGCACUCAAGACUACAGAAUGUGUCCAUUUUUCUCUUGAGACCCUAUGAAGACCUACAUAUUGGGGCAAAAAGUAUUUUCUGAAUUAUUGUGGCAGUAAACUUACAAACUAACUCCUCUUCCCUUUGUUGUACACAAUGAAUGGGUCCAGUUUCAGAGCCCUGCAGUUGGCAGGGCUUAAAAAUUCAUCUUGCACCUCUUACAACAGCAAUCUCAAAGGUAUCCAGGCCCUGGGCCAUCUAGGACUUCAGAGGUAACAUUAUUUUGAAUGUAUCCAUAGACCAACUGAUGGCUGGUACAGCUCCUAAAACAGUAUUAAGGAGUCUUAAACACACUCCAAACCUAUGAAAUACUGGCCUUGCCGAAGGUUCUGGGUGGCUAUAUGGAAAAUGAGUGGUACUACUGAUAAGUUCCAUCUGUUAACAGUUUCUGUUACUUUUCUGCAGGCUUUAAGUUUUUGUUUUACUUAAUCCUGUAGAUAAUCUGUCCUUUAAAAUGCCUGUUGAAGUUAUAUGAAAAAAUAACACCAUUUAAAUUGUGAAAUAAGACUACAGUGCAGCUAAGCCUAAAAAAAAAUGAGCUAAAGAAAUUGCAAAUUUACAGUUUCAUGACACCAGUAUUGUUCUGCUUCUGUCAAUUUUUUACCUAAUGGAAAUCCAUGCAGAUUAUGGCAUCUCUUCUGCCAUUGUUUAUCAAUGUUACUGUGACUUGAGUUGGAGGUUCUCUGAAAUAUUUUGUUUCCUAAAUAUUCCUUUUAUGAUUGCUUAUAUCUAAAGAUAGAAAUGGAGGCGUGAGGAAACUUGGAUAUUGCCACCUGGCACAUGUGGGUUUUUAUUAAGACACGCACAAAAUGUUAAUUUUGUAUAAGCAAAUGCACUUAAGCAAUUGCUUGUCUUGAGAGUGUAAUUAUGCUUCAUAAACAGAUGCACUGAAUAAUGCUUAUUGUCUUAAUUUUUUUCCUGGAAUUGUGAGCUGGGCUACUAGUUUCCUGUAGGUGGGGGCAAAAGUCUUUUGCACUAUUAGACCAACUCCAUAGAAGGAAUUAGUUCCAGUUGCAGAUUUUGAGUUGCUUUACAUCUCAUGUGAGUUUCUAGUUUCCUGAUCAUUGCAGUUAAGGGACAUAAAAAGUAAAAUAAUACUUUUAUUUUAUCUCCCCCCUUUUAAGAAAGCCUCCCUAUGUUUAUAUUCAGGCUAUUCAUUUGACAUUAAAAAAAACCCAAGAAAACUUUAACCAAGCCUCCAUAUUGUGUUCUGGAUUAAUGGGGUUGAAGUGACAGCAUAACUUGAUACUCCAGGAACGAUGAUGCUCAAAAUCUACCUUCCUUGCAUAAUUCAGUGUAAUGACUGCCCAACCCUGCUCAGCAGUUGCACAAGAUUUAGCCUCCCAUUCCUGCAAAUACACCAAGGAGAAACAGCCAUCUUUCAAACAAGUUUUAUUUCUGACAAAGCAUAUAAAAGACUUUGGCUACAUGCAAAGUAGGACAAUAUGGAGAUGCUGAUUUCUAUGAAGUACCAGAUUAACACUACCAAAAACAUACAAAUACUCAAAAUGGGCACAACAGCAGUGAGGUUUUAAGGGAAAAAACACAUUCUGAAAAUUGAUCAUGAUGAGCUGUACCUCCUCCCUAAAGUAGAUUAAUCCUAGCAAUUACAAUCUGAGCCCAGUCUGAAAGGUUCAGCUGCUCUUCAAACCUGCCAGGAUGAAGUGCUUUUGAUUUACCGAAACCAUACUGUUGAAAGCUCACAAGAGAUUGGCGUGAUAGUUAAUUUGGGCAAGAUUCUUCAUGGGUAGCUCAAAAGAAUAAAGCCAGCAUUUACUUCAUGACAGUCAAGUGCUGCAAAGGGUUGGUGACUAAAUAUGUAAUCCAGGUACCUAAGAACAUCAGGAAAAAUUGACACUAUCAAGCUGAAUUGAUUCUAUUGUCUCUUCUACGGCACAGUGAUGAAAUCCAGAGUAACUGAAAGCAGCUACACUUUUUCCACAAAGUGUAAUUAUAGCAACCUGCAACAAAUUUCAUCCCCUGGUGCCUAAAGCCAAGGCCUUGCUAACCCUUUAGUACCAUCAAUUCACACUCUUAAAGCAAGGGAAUGGGGACUUUUUCAUUUAGACUGGUUUGUUUGCUUUAUGAACCAAUGUAAUCUGUCAUCUAUCAAUGAAUAGUAUGUCUUGUAUUCAAAUUAUUUCAUUCUGGAGACAGUUCAGAAGGGGCAAGUUUUUCAGCCCUGCUGACUCACUGCUUUUGACUUAUAAAAAUUACGUCUGAAGACCAGCAAUCUUGUAGCACCUUAAGACCUUACAAAUAAAACUCAUGGAUUACAGCCAAAUUCAUCAGAUUCAUGGCAUAACCUGAGAUAGGUACACAUCCAUGGCUUACUCAGAACAGGAGACAAAUUGGUUGCGAAAGAAUGAAAUGCAGAAGGUACAGUAAUGAUGGUUACCUUCUUGGCAGUGAUUAUUCAGUGAGACAUUCAAACUUGGUGAGUUGAUUAACAUCUUUCUGUUUAAUCCAUGGGAUUAAUUUUGUUUCUAUCCAAGCGUGGACUUUUCCCACCUAAAGCUUCUAUUCAAAGUAAUUCA